rnacentral:rRNA from 1 species
CCUACGGGAGGCAGCAGUAGGGAAUUUUGCGCAAUGGGCGAAAGCCUGAAGCAGCAACGCCGCGUGAACGAGACGCCCUUCGGGGUGUAAAGUUCUGUCAGUGGGGACGAAAAAUGCCGGUACCCACAGAGGAAGCACCCGCUAACUCAGUGACAGCAGCCGCGGUACUACGGAGGGUGCAAGCGUUGUCCGGAAUCAUUGGGCGGAAAGAGUUCGUAGGCGGCAUGUAAAGUCAGGUGUUAAAGGCGCAGGCUCCACCUGUAGAUGGCACGUGAUACUUGCAAGCUGGAGUGCGGUAGGGGUAGAGGGAAGUCCUGGUGUAGCGGUGAAAUGCUUAGAUAUCAGGAGGAACAGAGGUGGCGGAGGCGGUUUACUGGGCCGUAAUUGACGCUGAGGAACGAAAGCCAGGGUAGCAAAUGGGAUUAGAUACCCGAGUAGUC